AUCAGUCGAUUGGUUGGUUGGUCGGUCGGUCUGUCGGUUGGUUGGUCGGUCAGUCGGUCGGUCAGUCGGUUGGUU